AUCUUCCUCUACAGGGUGCAGCCAGAAAGAGAGAAUGAGAUGUACUCUGUAAGAGGUCUGACAAUCAGGAACUCCUGACAGUGACAAUUGACUCCCUUUGUGGCCUUAGGAGUUCUACACAGAUUUGGAAUGCAAGCUGGCUGCAAGCAGGAGCAAGGAGGCGCAACCGGCACAUGUAGCGCUAGAACUUCGGACUGCCUAAGUGAGCUGUAGUGUGGAGAGGUGGAGGCUGGAUGUCUCAGAAG